rnacentral:rRNA from 1 species
CGAACGGGUGAGUAACGCGUGAGGAACCUGCCUCAAAGAGGGGGACAACGGUUGGAAACGACUGCUAAUACCGCAUAAGCCCACGGCUCGGCAUCGAGCAGAGGGAAAAGGAGUGAUCCGCUUUGAGAUGGCCUCGCGUCCGAUUAGCUAGUUGGUGAGGUAACGGCCCACCAAGGCGACGAUCGGUAGCCGGACUGAGAGGUUGAACGGCCACAUUGGGACUGAGACACGGCCCAG